CCUCUUUAGCUUUUUGCUUGUUGAGUGUUGGAUGUGGGGGUUUCUGUUGCUGGUCUUUUAAGAGGUCAGCUCCCCUAAAAUGCAUUAGCAGAACAAUUUGUUGAUCAUUCAUUAGUGUGAUAAUUAUCUACGCUAUUGACAUGUAAUACAGUUCAGCUUCUAACAGUCCAUUGACUUGGACAAUCCUUUAUUAAUGUGACCUCAAAUCAGGUAGGACUACCCGCUGAACUUAAGCAUAUCAAUAAGCGGAGGAAAAGAAACUAACAAGGAUUCCCCUAGUAACUGCGAGUGAAGCGGGAAAAGCUCAAAUUUAAAAUCUGUCAGUCUUUGACUGUCCGAGUUGUAAUCUAGAGAAGUGUUAUCCGCGCUGGCCCGUGUACAAGUCUCCUGGAAUGGAGCGUCAUAGAGGGUGAGAAUCCCGUCUCUGACAUGGACUACCAGGGCUUUUGUGAUGCGCUCUCAAAGAGUCGAGUUGUUUGGGAAUGCAGCUCAAAAUGGGUGGUAAAUUCCAUCUAAAGCUAAAUAUUGGCGAGAGACCGAUAGCGAACAAGUACCGUGAGGGAAAGAUGAAAAGGACUUUGGAAAGAGAGUUAAACAGUACGUGAAAUUGCUGAAAGGGAAACGCUUGAAGUCAGUCGCGUUGUCUAGGAAUCAACCUUGCUUUUGCUUGGUGUACUUUCUGGUUAACGGGUCAGCAUCAAUUUUGAUCAUUGGAAAAAGGUUAAGGGAAUGUGGCAUCCUUGGAUGUGUUAUAGCCCUUGAUUGCAUACAAUGGUUGGGAUUGAGGAACUCAGCACGCCGCAAGGCCCGGGUUGUUAACCACGUACGUGCU
rnacentral:rRNA from 1 species